ACGGAGGUGGUGUAGUGGUUUAGGCAUGUCGUGGCAGACCCACGAAGGCGCUUGGUUCGAGUCCAUGCCCGCCGUC